rnacentral:rRNA from 1 species
GAUGAACGCUGGCGGCGUGCCUAAUACAUGCAAGUCGAGCGAAUGGAUUGAGAGCUUGCUCUUAUGAAGUUAGCGGCGGACGGGUGAGUAACACGUGGGUAACCUGCCCAUAAGACUGGGAUAACUCCGGGAAACCGGGGCUAAUACCGGAUAACAUUUUGAACCGCAUGGUUCGAAAUUGAAAGGCGGCUUCGGCUGUCACUUAUGGAUGGACCCGCGUCGCAUUAGCUAGUUGGUGAGGUAACGGCUCACCAAGGCAACGAUGCGUAGCCGACCUGAGAGGGUGCUCGGCCACGCUGCGACUGGCACACGGCCCAGAAUCCUACGGGAGGCAGCAGUAGGCAAUCUUCCGCAAUGUACGAAAGUCUGACGGUGCAACGCCGCGUGAGUGAUGAAGGCUGUCGGGUCGUAAAACUCUGUUGUUAGGGAAGAACAAGUGCUAGUUGAAUAAGCUGGCACCUUGACGGUACCUAACCAGAAAGCCACGGCUAACUACGUGCCAGCCGCCGCCGUAA